rnacentral:rRNA from 1 species
GGCAUUGAUAUGUAGAGUUUGGUUGUAGCUGGCUCCUAAUUAAACUUGGGGGCAUGUGCACACCUUUCUCUUUCAUCCCAUACACACCUGUGCACCUGUGAGACAGAUGUUUUGUGGGGGGGAAGGAACUUUAUUGGACCUUCUACUCCCCCUUGACUUCUGUCUACUUAAUUCAUAUAAACUCAAUUUAUUUUAAAACGGAUGUAAUGGAUGUAACACAUCUAAUACUAAGUUUCAACAACGGAUCUCUUGGCUCUCGCAUCGAUGAAGAACGCAGCGAAAUGCGAUAAGUAAUGUGAAUUGCAGAAUUCAGUGAAUCAUCGAAUCUUUGAACGCACCUUGCGCUCCUUGGUAUUCCUUGGAGCAUGCCUGUUUGAGUAUCAUGAAAUCUUCAAAGUCAAACCUUUUGUUAAUUCAAUUGGUUCUGCUUUGGUAUUGGAGGAUUAUUGCAGCUUCACACCUGCUCCUCUUUGUGCAUUAGCUGGAUCUCAGUGUUAUGCUUGGUUCCACUCAGCGUGAUAAGUUAUCUAUCGCUGAGGACACCCUGUUAAAAAGGGGUGGCCAAGGUAAAUGCAGAUGAACCGCUUCUAAUAGUCCAUUGACUUGGACAAUAUCUAAUUUAUGAUCUGAUCUCAAAUCAGGUAGGACUACCCGCUGAACUUAAGCAUAUCAUAGCCCGGAAGGAAGGCAUUGAUAUGUAGAGUUUGGUUGUAGCUGGCUCCUAAUUAAACUUGGGGGCAUGUGCACACCUUUCUCUUUCAU